AUGGCAAUGGCUUACAAGAUGGCGACGGAGGGGAUGAACAUCAAGGAGGAGUGCAAGCGGUGGUUCACGGAGAUGAAGUGGAAGAAGGUGCACCGCUUCGUGGUCUACAAGAUCGACGAGCGGACGCGCGCCGUGCUGGUGGACAAGGUGGGCGGCCCCGGGGAGGGGUACGACGAGCUCGUCGCCGCGCUGCCCGGCGACGACUGCCGCUACGCCGUCUUCGACUUCGACUUCGUCUCCGUCGACAACUGCCAGAAGAGCAAGAUCUUCUUCAUCGCAUGGUCGCCGGCGGCGUCGAGGAUAAGGGCCAAGAUUCUGUACGCGACGUCGAAGCAAGGCCUGCGGCGGGUGCUGGAGGGGGUCCACUACGAGGUGCAGGCCACCGAGCGCUCCGAGAUGGGCUUCGACGUCAUCAGAGAGCGCGCGCAAUGA
rnacentral:rRNA from 1 species